AGAGAUGUGUGAUGACGCAUAUCAAUAAGCGGAGGAAAAGAAACUAACAAGGAUUCCCCUUAGUAACGGCGAGUGAAGCGGGAAGAGCUCAAAUUUGAAAUCUUCAAGGGUUCUACCUUGACGAAUUGUAGUUUAUAGAAGUGUUUUCUGUUAGUGGAGUGGCAAAAGUUCUUUGGAAUAGGACAUCAUAGAGGGUGAGAAUCCCGUAUUUGGUCAUUCCUCCUAGCGUUGUGAUACACUUUCAACGAGUCGGAUUGUUUGGGAAUGCAGUCCAAAAUGGGUGGUAAAUUUCAUCUAAAGCUAAAUAUUGGCGAGAGACCGAUAGCGAACAAGUACCGUGAGGGAAAGAUGAAAAGAACUUUGAAAAGAGAGUUAAACAGUACGUGAAAUUGUCAAAAGGGAAGCGUUUGACACCAGUGUUGUUUUUCCGAAAAUCAAUUACGAAUGUUUUGUUUUUGAGGAGUUAUGACUUCAUCGGCUUGCUCCUUUCUUUACGAAACUUUCUUAAUGCACUUUUCGGUUAACAAGUCAACAUCAAUUUCUUUUGUUGUAAAAGGGUACGAGGAAGGUGGCUUUCUUUUCGGAGAAAGUGUUUAUAGCCUUGUACCUCUGCAAUCGGAGAGAUUGAGGUCUGCAGCGUAGAUCCUUCGGGGUUAGAUACAUUUGUGCUAAGUUAUAGCUUUUCAUAGACAACUUGUUGACUAUGUUUAGUCUUGUAGCUUACUCGCUUAUGCUAUUUUACCUACGCUUAGGAUGUUGAAGAUGUAGCACAUCAU
rnacentral:rRNA from 1 species